GACGAACGCUGGCGGCGUGCUUAACACAUGCAAGUCGAACGGAAAGGCCCUGCUUUUGUGGGGUGCUCGAGUGGCGAACGUGUGAGUAACACGUGAGUAACCUGCCCUUGACUUUGGGAUAACUUCAGGAAACUGGGGCUAAUACCGGAUAGGAGCUCCUGCUGCAUGGUGGUGGUUGGAAAGUUUCGGCGGUUGGGGAUGGACUCGCGGCUUAUCAGCUUGUUGGUGGGGUAGUGGCUUACCAAGGCUUUGACGGGUAGCCGGCAUGAGAGGGUGACCGGCAACAUUGGGACUGAGAUACGGCGCAGACGCCUACGGGAGGCAGCAGGGGGGAAUAUUGCACAAUGGGAGGAAGCCUGAUGCAGCAACGCCGCGUGCGGGACGACGGCCUUCGGGUUGUAAACCGCUUUCGCCUGUGACGAAGCGUGAGUGACGGUAAUGGGUAAAGAAGCACCGGCUAACUACGUG
rnacentral:rRNA from 1 species